rnacentral:tRNA from 1 species
GUAAUAGCUCAGUCGGUAGAGCAUCAGACUCUUAAUCUCAAGGUUGUGGGUUCAAGCUCCACGUUGGGCA